GACGAACGCUGGCGGCGUGCUUAACACAUGCAAGUCGAACGCUGAACCCGCCUCGGUGGGGGAUGAGUGGCGAACGGGUGAGUAACACGUGGGCAACCUGCCCCCGGCUCUGGGAUAACUCCAAGAAAUUGGGGCUAAUACCGGAUGUGACCGCUGGCCGCAUGGUCUGGUGGUGGAAAGGGUUUCCGGCUGGGGAUGGGCCCGCGGCCUAUCAGCUUGUUGGUGGGGUAGUGGCCUACCAAGGCGACGACGGGUAGCCGGCCUGAGAGGGUGACCGGCCACACUGGGACUGAGACACGGCCCAGACUCCUACGGGAGGCAGCAGUGGGGAAUAUUGCGCAAUGGGCGGAAGCCUGACGCAGCGACGCCGCGUGGGGGAUGACGGCCUUCGGGUUGUAAACCUCUUUCAGCAGGGACGAAGCGCAAGUGACGGUACCUGCAGAAGAAGCACCGGCCAACUACGUG
rnacentral:rRNA from 1 species